CUAGUAUAGCAUUAUACGGCGAACUGCGAAUGGCUCAUUAUAUAAGUUAUCGUUUAUUUGAUAGUACCUUACUACUUGGAUAACCGUGGUAAUUCUAGAGCUAAUACAUGCUAAAAAUCCCGACUUCGGAAGGGAUGUAUUUAUUAGAUUAAAAACCAAUGCCCUCUGGGCUCUCUGGUGAUUCAUGAUAACUUCGCGAAUCGCACGGCCUUGCGCCGGCGAUGGCUCAUUCAAAUUUCUUCCCUAUCAACUUUCGAUGUUUGGGUAGUGGCCAAACAUGGUUGCAACGGGUAACGGAGGGUUAGGGCUCGACCCCGGAGAAGGAGCCUGAGAAACGGCUACUACAUCCAAGGAAGGCAGCAGGCGCGCAAAUUACCCAAUCCCGACACGGGGAGGUAGUGACAAUAAAUACUGAUACAGGGCUCUUUUGGGUCUUGUAAUUGGAAUGAGUACAAUUUAAAUCCCUUAACGAGGAACAAUUGGAGGGCAAGUCUGGUGCCAGCAGCCGCGGUAAUUCCAGCUCCAAUAGCGUAUAUUAAAGUUGUUGUGGUUAAAAAGCUCGUAGUUGAACCUUGGGCCUGGCUGGCCGGUCCGCCUCACCGCGUGUACUGGUCCGGCCGGGCCUUUCCCUCUGUGGAACCCCAUGCCCUUCACUGGGUGUGGCGGGGAAACAGGACUUUUACUUUGAAAAAAUUAGAGUGCUCCAGGCAGGCCUAUGCUCGAAUACAUUAGCAUGGAAUAAUGAAAUAGGACGUGCGGUUCUAUUUUGUUGGUUUCUAGGACCGCCGUAAUGAUUAAUAGGGACAGUCGGGGGCAUCAGUAUUCAAUUGUCAGAGGUGAAAUUCUUGGAUUUAUUGAAGACUAACUACUGCGAAAGCAUUUGCCAAGGAUGUUUUCAUUAAUCAGGAACGAAAGUUAGGGGAUCGAAGACGAUCAGAUACCGUCGUAGUCUUAACCAUAAACUAUGCCGACUAGGGAUCGGACGAUGUUAUUUCUUGACUCGUUCGGCACCUUACGAGAAAUCAAAGUGCU
rnacentral:rRNA from 1 species